rnacentral:rRNA from 1 species
UGGGGAAUUUUGGACAAUGGGGGAAACCCUGAUCCAGCCAUCCCGCGUGUGCGAUGAAGGCCUUCGGGUUGUAAAGCACUUUCGGCAGGAAAGAAACGUCAUGGGUUAAUACCCCGUGAAACUGACGGUACCUGCAGAAUAAGCACCGGCUAACUACGUGCCAGCAGCCGCGGUAAUACGUAGGGUGCAAGCGUUAAUCGGAAUUACUGGGCGUAAAGCGUGCGCAGGCGGUUCGGAAAGAAAGAUGUGAAAUCCCAGAGCUCAACUUUGGAACUGCAUUUUUAACUACCGGGCUAGAGUGUGUCAGAGGGAGGUGGAAUUCCGCAUGUAGCAGUGAAAUGCGUAGAUAUGCGGAGGAACACCGAUGGCGAAGGCAGCCUCCUGGGAUAACACUGACGCUCAUGCACGAAAGCGUGGGGAGCAAACAGG